AUGGUUGAGAAAGUAACAGAGGCUGAUACAGGCAGGAAGCCUGGCAGUAAGCUAGGGAAGCUCAGGAGAUGCUGGUGCUGGUGCUGGUGGGAGGAGCAAGUUUGGCUCCAGCUGAGCCCUAGCCAGAUACAGCCUUGGUAUGGGAGUUAAAGAAGGGUAGGUGAAUUGAAAAAUGUUUUGGACUUGUGAGUUCUAUUUUUGUGACUGACUGUUGUCAGCCUGGGAGGAGAACUGGGGGAAUAAAAGGACUGAACUUAGAAAGUCACUGGAAGGCUUCAAAGUCUGAUAGCUGUGGAUGUUCAUUAGUAUCCCCCCUCCCUCCUAGAGAAGGUUUGUUCAGUAUAUUAGAGGAUGAUGUCAGUCUGUCACAGCAGCUUCUUCAAAAUGAGGGAGUUCUGGCACUGGAAACCAUCAGAUACUUUCACUGCAUCUGAGGUUGAAAGAUCAGCUGUUCAGGCAUUAGAAUCUGUUCAGACUUUGAUCUCUUUGGCUCCAAAUUGGAUCUGGUGGUCCUGAAAACGUCUUUUGGAAGAAAAUGUCACACAGCUAUGAGAGAAAACUAACAAACUGCAAAUUACAUUUGAUGGUCCUAAGAAUCUGCUGCACAAAAUUGCAGGGAAAAAGGUCCCUGAUCCCAUUGACAUCAAUUGGCAUUGGAUGGAGCCCUGACUUUGAAUCUAUUACUUUGGAAUUACCAGUCCUUUUUCCUGCCAAAUUCAGGAAGAUUGCAGAUGGAAAUAAAUGCACUAAAACUAUUUUCUCUUACUUCCCCACAGAUUGAACUAGAAAAACUUUUUUGUGAAAAAGGUCUUAAUGGACUAGAGGACAACUCUACAGUAGAUUCUCUGCUUGAAGAUUUGGAAUAGUAUAGUAACCUGUGCUCUUUUGCUUUAUAUUAACUAAGCAAUAUGUUUUAGCCAGCCUGUACUGCUUUCUUUGUGGGUCUUUUUUUUUUUAAAGGGAAUACUUUAGAUAUUUAAAUGUAAAGGCCCAGCUUUUUUUCUGAAGAUUUGUCUAGACUAAUUGAGCACUUUGCCAUGCUUUUUCUCUUUUUAGGAAAAGUUUCUUACUAAAUGUUGUCAAUUUAGGCCCCAGUUCUGCAAAGGUUUACUCACAUGCUUAAUUUUAUGCACAAUGAGCUGUCAAGCAUACGCAUAAUUUUUUUCAGAGAUGAGGUUUUAAUCUAUCCUGAGUCUAAUUCUGCCACACUUGAUGACAGUUCCUAACCACAUAAGCACCGAAGUCAAUGGGAUUUCUUGCAUAGUAGGAUGAGACUCAUCCUGAGUAAAAGUGGCAGAAUCUGGUCCUAAAUUAAUAUUGAGAAAUUAAGCUGAAAUAUUAAUACUUAAUUUUUGGCUUUUGAAUACAAGUUUAAGACCCAUUGAGUUCAAUAUGAAAUUAAGGUUUAAUGUAUACUACUUUAAUCUUAAAACAAUUUAUAAACUUUGUGAUUAUUUUUUUAAAGGUGAAUGUUGUGUAACAUAAUGAGCUAAAAGACAGAUUAUAAAUUCCGUACUCAAGGGAAUAAUCCCAGUGAAGUCAAUUCAGCAAAUCCUAUGAGUAACAGCUCACUAACAUAAGUAAGAUUCACAAACUGAUGCUAAUAAAAUAAUCCUUUUUUUUUCUCACUGUUAGCAUAACAGAACAUUCCUGUAUUUGCUGUUGCAAUUUCAGGAAAGGAAUGUUACCAUGGUUACAGGACUGGACUGAAUUCCUGUAUCUCAAUUGCUGAACACUUUUAUGACUAACCUCUCAGAUGCACCUUUCAGUUUCAAGAUGAAACUUUGAAGCUACACUAACCCCUUUGAGUUUUAAUCCCAUAAAACCCAGGGCUGAUACAUUAGGUAUUCCCCAAAUAGAUAAAAGGAAAUGUACAACUUGAUAGAGCACUGUACUAUAGCAAUGUCUGGCUGUGGUGCUGGCAUGUUUCUCAGAAAUUAUUUGGCUUUUAACACCUAAUGUUUUAAGAAACAUCAAAUACACUUUAUGGGUUUUUUCAAACUAACUUUAAAGUUAUAUAGUAAAUAGGAUCUGCUUCUAGCUGAGGAAAAACUUACUAUUACUCAUAAUGUCCGGAUCAUAAAAAGUCUUCUUUUUAGCUCUUCUUGUUCAGCUGUUAGUUUAAGAGCUGAAAGAUUCCUAGCUCAAGCCAUGACAGCAAUAGUGUACAGGUCAUGUUUACAACAAAUUGACUACAGGAUGGAGGCACUUCACUAAUUGUGACGAUAUGACCACCAGAUUGAAUGAACAGUUAACUUCUGAAGUGUUCUUAUGAGCAUAUCAAGCAUGUUGGAACAAUUUUGUAUAGUAGAGGUGUUGAGAGCCAUUGAACCAAACUGUAAACCCUGUAUAUAAUGUAAAGCACUUCAAACCAUGGGGUGCGGCAGCACCCCCAGUACUCCUAGUUCUAGCACCCAUGGAGCAUACAUUUCUGUGGGAACCUUUGGCUUUAAAUCUAAAUAGGGAUCAGUAAAGGUAAUUGCUUUGGACUCAAUACAUUGCUGAAGUCAUGUAGUUGUGAGAAUUGAAAUAAGAUUCUCCUGGCUGCCCAUAGGUGUCACCCAACACGGAAGCCUGGAUUUGAUUUUUUUUUUUUUUUUUUUUUUUUUUUUAAGGCACAACUUGAGCAAAGGCUGGAGGGUACACUGCAUAAACCCAGGAUUAUCACCAGGAGGCACUGUGACUCAGAUACAUCUCUAAGUCACAGUUCGUCUCCUGCUUUCUCCUUGGUUCUGCUGUAAACAACUACUCAUGCCUUUCUGGUGCAACUGCUUUGGUCAGUGACCGGAGGGAAGGAGUGGAACCAAAUCUCCAGUUAUUCCCUGCCCCUCCUCACCUAUUUGCUGCAAGGUAGGAGUAAGCAGUUAUACUUACCCCUAUGCGCAAGUACCCAAUAACUGGAUACCCUGAGAGAAGAAAAAUAUC